GGAGAGUUGUCCGAGUUGGCCGAAGGAGCAACAUUGGAAAUGCUGUAUACGGGUUAAAGCCUGUAUCAAGGGUUCGAAUCCCUUACUCUCCG
rnacentral:tRNA from 3 species